rnacentral:lncRNA from 1 species
UUUUGCCAUUUGAUAAGAAACUUUCUGAUUUUAAUUUUCCCCGGAAAUCGGUUAUUUUGUGAUUUAACUAUUUAAUUUUUACUGUGCGUAUUGCUGUGUGCUGUUUUUUGUUCUACAAUGCUAGAAGUAUAGAGUGGGUGAGAUCACACAAAAUAUGUUUAACCUCGCUGCAUUGUUGGGUUGUGCCAAGUCAGGAGCCUUUGGCCUUUGUAAGUCGUGUACGUUUUAAAAAUAAAUAAAUGCAUCUAUAUGUUUCAAAGUUUAGUGUGACGUCCUUUUUGACUGAACUAGUACAUAUUUUUGUUAUGAUGUUAGCUGAAGCCCGCCUCCAUGUGCGGUAUUUUCUUGCUGUGUUGAAGACCCAUUGUUGGUUUUCGUCUGUUUUCUGUACUUUUUUGUUGAUUGUUUGUCUGAUUGACACAUUUUUUCAUUUCUAAUCUCAAUUUCAUUGCUUAACGUUUGAUGAAUUCACUCUCACGAGCCCCUAUAUAAGACAUUUUGUUUAUUGGGUACACUUGUCUAUGUAGAUGUAUACAUACGCAGUCACAUUCGUGAUAAAAAAAA